rnacentral:rRNA from 1 species
GCACAACGCGAAGAACCUUACCACCUUUUGACAUGCCUGGACCGCCACAGAGAUGUGGCUUUCCCUUCGGGGGACUGGGACACAGGUGCUGCAUGGCUGUCGUCAGCUCGUGUCGUGAGAUGUUGGGUUAAAGUCCCGCAACGAGCGCAACCCGUCGCCAUUAGUUGCCAUCAUUCAGUUGGGAACUCUAAUGGGUACUGCCGGAGCUAAUCCGGAGGAAGGCGGGGUAUGACGUCAAGUCCUCAUGGCCCUUACGGGGUUGGGCUACACACGUGCUACAAUGGCGACUACAGAGGGUUUAAACUCCUUAAAACGUCGUCUCAGUUCGGAUUGUCCUCUGCAACUCGAGGGUCAUGAAGUUGGAAUCGCUAGUAAUCGCGGAUCAGCAUGCCGCGGUUGAACUAC